UAUGUUCUUGGCGUCAGAGCCAAAUGA
rnacentral:sRNA from 1 species